rnacentral:lncRNA from 1 species
UUUUGAUGUUGAAUUGCUUUGAAGCUCUCUUUUAGGAUGAAGGGUUUGGUUUCAAACCAAUCCUUUCUUUGCCUUCUCAGAGAUGUCUUUCCUUGCUUGCAGGCUUAAUCCAAAUGGGAUGGAAUGAGCCAGGUCUGCCAUGAGCUUUUAGCUUUCAAGCUGUUGUGAACUCGCACUGGAUGAAGGUCCAUGCUUGAGGAGAGAAGCAAAGGAUGCUUGAUUGCAGCAAGAAUAGAUUUCCUCUGCUUGUGUUCUUGGCUAUUUUUCUCUCCUCUGAUGGUUACAGAGAUGACUUUUCACACCAUCAAGGCCACUUUCUCAGCUUAUUGACAGCUUUAUGAGCACUGUUGGAAAAGCCCCAGCUUCCUUCGUUCCUCAGCUCCAGUUUUCCUUCGGGUGAGAGGGCUGGGAGGUCCCUGAGUUAUCGCACCUGGAUGUGUGUUACCUGCUGCUUCUCCACCCUUGAGGUGUAUGAUCAUAUCAGGACAACUGGUCAGGAUGUGCUACAGAGCAGCAUUUUCAGUCUUCUUGACUCAGCAGAAAGCAGAAACCCUGCAGUCAAGAUACCCAAACCCUGCUCAAUGCCUUGGCCUUGCUGCAGCAGGUAGCCAGGCAGCUGGCUGUGUGAUCCUAUGGCGCGUGGCUCAGCACAACUUGUGCUCCAGAGGACGUCCAGAAGAGAUUAGCAGGUAUGAGAAAUUACAAACAAAAUCAAGUUUUUGGAAAUGAAAUGGAGAGCUGUCGUGACAGGCAUUGUUAGUGGCUGCUAAUCCACUGAGCAGAGAGCGGAGAAGCCCCAGUCCAGCCCAGUAUAGGGUAGAAUAAAUUCCCUGUCUCUGUUUUAUGUCCUGUCUGU